rnacentral:snoRNA from 1 species
GAGCAAUGAUGAAAAAAUUUUACUGCUGACCUUUGUAACUAUGAAGGUUUCUACAUUACCCA